rnacentral:lncRNA from 1 species
GAAUAUUCUCAUCCGCUCUUUCCAAUAUGUAUAGUUUGUUCCGUCAAAUAGUGGAGGGCUAUUGGUGGAGUGUCCUUCGCUCAUCAUUCCUGCGUUCAACAUUCUCAAAAAAUAUAUAUAUAUAUCGUGCUCUCAACCGGUUAAGGCUUUCAGGGAGUUAGGCUCUGAUACCAAUUGUUAGGUUUUAUGCCCGUCACUAGAGGGGGGUGAAUAGUGCNN